rnacentral:rRNA from 1 species
AUACGAAGGGGGCUAGCGUUGCUCGGAAUGACUGGGCGUAAAGGGCGCGUAGGCGGUAUGGACAGUCAGAUGUGAAAUUCCUGGGCUUAACCUGGGGGCUGCAUUUGAUACGUCCAAACUAGAGUGUGAGAGAGGGUUGUGGAAUUCCCAGUGUAGAGGUGAAAUUCGUAGAUAUUGGGAAGAACACCGGUGGCGAAGGCGGCAACCUGGCUCAUAACUGACGCUGAGGCGCGAAAGCGUGGGGAGCAAACAGGAUUAGAUACCCUGGUAGUCCACGCUGUAAACGAUGUGUGCUGGAUGUUGGGUGACUUAGUCAUUCAGUGUCGUAGUUAACGCGAUAAGCACACCGCCUGGGGAGUACGACCGCAAGGUUGAA